ACGUGCACCAAAGGUCGGUGGUUUUAGUAAUUUUCUCUCAUUUUACAACCCCAAAGCGUAGCCCCUUCCAAACGCCGCUGACACAUGCCCUCGCGAGCUCACCUUGGCCCUUGCCACCACUGCUGCGAGGCGGCCUGCGACCGCCUACCUCCUGCUCUCCCCUUCAUCUCCCAAGCUCCUCACCGCCGGUGCCGCGGCCGGAAGUUCCUCGUCGUCGUGGAGCUGAAUGAUUGCCCGCUGCGCGCGGUGGAUCGGGAUCACGCGAGGUCUUCUGACUGCAAGGUCGUGCGCUUGUACGUGCUGCAAAACCAGGGGCUACAUUGACAUCCAUGCUGCAAUGCCCACGGUCCACCCAACCUUUCACUAUCUUCCAGCCGAUGGUGGUUCAUUUAGCCUUAGUCCAUGCAGCCAAGGUGUUCGACGAAAUUACCAAAUGAGUAGAAGUUCCUUUUCUAAAUCCUUUCAUGGUCUGCUACAUGUUGGUUAAUAAGGGAAACCUGGUUUGCGUAUGUAUGAUGCUCGUUUGUGUACUCUAAGCUAUGCCCGUGGCUCCAACAUUGGCAUUAGCCAUUAGGCAUGAGUACUUACUAGUUACAACUAAUCAAUUUGGUUUUGUGUUUUGACUGUUUUUUCUUGCUUUCAGCUCGGGCCAAGAGGCACUAGUUCAAGAAGCUGCGUACUCACUCAGAAGGAUCACCACCAUCAAGAAGAUCAUAUAGGCAGCUGAUUAUGUCAAGAAGCAGAUCCAGCCAACACAGGGUGAAGAGAAGAUUGUGGAGAUGUGGUAGAUGGAUAGCAGUUCUGGAUGCGUGAGUGAGCCUGGAACACAAGUAGAGAUGAUGGCGCUGAUCGAGUGCCAAACAAGGCCUAAGGGGGUCAUCAUUCACUAGAAUGCCUGAGAAACAGAAUUGCUGAGGAAUUGGCACGGUUUGAUAGACGACAUGGGAGUAAUACAAGGAAAGGAAUCCCUUGAUCCUAGCCGAGUAUCUUGGAACAGAGCAUUUAGCCUAGCGUUUCUUUUUCUGGUGACCAAUGCUUGCCAACAUAUUUACCCUUUGGAUGGCCGGCGAGGUGUAUCUCUGAGCCAUCUCUCUGCUGCAAGAGUCAUUACGGAGCAAAUGGUGUCAUGGAAAAUUACAAAACGUAAAUUGUCUUGAAAUUCAGAUUUGGAUUUGGACAAUAAUGUAGAGGGGAAAUGAUAAUUAAACGUCCUACUCCUAGUAAAACUAACCCCUCUUAUCUUUACUCAUGGGGCUUAUGUGUAAAUUUCUAUUGCCGUCCACUUCUUUUGUGUAAAAGUGGAUUGGUUGUUUGCCAUAGAGAUUAUAGAAGCUAUCCUGCAAAUAUUUUUUUUCCAAAAAUUGUCAUGAUCAUUUGCAUCAUGUCCA